CAAGACGCUAUCUCAACAAAACAAAACAAAACAAAAAAACAGAAAAGGAGAGAAAGAAAAAGUAACAGGCUGUGUAAAGUAAAACUCACAGAACUCUCGGGGCUUGUUCUUGUUUCUGUCUGUGGCUCUCACUCUUCCGAGCAAGGACCUGCUUACUGCACACACUUGACCCUGAAUUCCCCUUGCCACUCACACCAGAGUUUGAGCUGCAGUUAAAUAGCCAAGACAGAGGCUGCUCUGCACGCGGGCUUGCUGCUUUUUUGCUUCUUUCACGCCCUUGCCCUGUGGCCCUGAAGGCACUGGCUGCCUGGCCUCGGGGCCCAGGACAUGGAGAAAAGCCUGAGUUCUUUCCCGCAGGGCCCAUCUUUUCUGACCCUGCAUGGUAACACCAUAGAAGUCUUGUCUUCACUCCGCUUGCCACAUCUGCAGUCUCGUGUGGAGCUUAGGGGGGAGCACGGCGCGCUGAGAAGCUGGAGAGGGAGACGAGUCGGAAGGAGAACCCACCUGACGGGAUGACAUUGGGUCACAUUCUCCAGAGGGCUGGCUCUGCCUCCUGCUGCAAUCUGGAGCAGUCUGCGAAGCCAGGCCCGUCUGGGGCCAAGCUGGACCCAGGCCCAGAGAACAUAUGUGCACCUGGGAACAGAGCCACCCCAGCCUCAGCCCUCUGGUCCCCCAAAAGCCGAGGCAAGGUCUCACUAUGGAGCUCACACUGGCCUUGAAUUCAC